GACGAACGCUGGCGGCGUGCCUAAUACAUGCAAGUAGAACGCAGUUUCGAACGGGUGAGUAACGCGUAGGUAACUGCCUGGUAGCGGGGGAUAACUAUUGGAAACGCUAGCUAAUACCACAUACUACCAGAUGGACCUGCGUUGUAUUAGCUAGUUGGUGAGGUAACGGCUCACCAAGGGAACGAUACAUAGCCGACCUGGAAGGGUGAUCGGCCCCACUGGGACUUAGGCACGGCCCUAACUCCUACGGGAGGCAGCAGUAGGGAAUCUUCGGCAAUGGGGGGAACCCUGACCGAGCAACUCCGCGUGAGUGAGGAAGGUUUUCGGAUCGUAAAGCUCUGUUGUUAAGGAAGCGGUACUUAACCAGAAAGGGACGGCUAACUACGUGCCAGCAGCCGCGGUAAUUC
rnacentral:rRNA from 1 species